GACUCAGUAACCAGAGGGCCAACCCAAACUUGGGACCCAGGGGGUGAAGCUGCUAACUAGCAACCACAGAAAGAUAGCAAGAUCUACUUGGAAGGGGAUCCUGACUGAGGAUGAAAAGUCUCCAACACUGCUGUCACCCACAUCUGUUACUCAUGAAAGCAGAGCCUACGGUUUGAGUUUGAUGGAGAGAAAGUGACAUUUAUUGCUGAGGGUUUAUGGGACCAUUAAAGUGGUGAGCAGCCUGAGAUGCCUUUGCACAAGGCCCCUCACAGGAAACACAAACUCUGUGCAGAGAUGUGAAGUCUGGGCUCCCGGGAUAGAAGAAAGGCUACCAGGUCAUAUUUUCACAUAUGCUUGGGUGCCAGGGAGAUAGGCCAGCUAUUCCAGGAGGAGGGGAAGGUAUCUGGGCUCUAAAGCAUGUUUUUUCUUCUCUGCACACAGCCCCUCCAGUGUGCGAGGCAGCCCAGAGAUUUGCACUUGGCACCUUCUGAUUUCUAAGUCAAUACGUAGAUUCACAAGGCAAUGAGCAAAGAGCCCAGCAGUCAGCACAGCCCUGGGGCUGUGUGCAAGAGGCUGGCCUCGGGCAGUCGGGAAAGAGGGGAGGGAAGGGGGUGGGGCCUUUGCACUCAUUCUCCUGGUCCUUCUGCAAUAAAGGGGAGGAUACCAUUCUUUCCCUCCACCCCUGAAUCCAACCUUCCAGACUAUUCUUCCCCGGGGGGGAGGGGGCAACUUCAUAUCUGACCUCUAUCUGCCAGCCAUGGACCCCAACUGUGAUUGUGAAAGUGGCUGCUGCUCCUGCUGCCCAACAGGAUGUGCCAAGUGUGCCCAGGGCUGUGUCUGCAAAGCCCCCCACACCGAGAGUUGCAGCUGCUGCCACUGAUGCUCCUGUCUCCCUGCAUUUAUAAAUAGAGGAAUUUGUACAGAUCUAGCUUUUCAUACGCCAUAAAUGUGCUUUUUAUUUUGUUUCUAUGAAAUGUGUGAAUGGAAAUAAAACCGUUGCAUAUCCUUCUA